GGGGUUGUAGCUGAGUGGUAGAGCAUUUGUCUUGAAUGCAUGAGGCCCUGGGUUCAAUUCUCAGCAUCACAU
rnacentral:tRNA from 1 species